rnacentral:rRNA from 1 species
CCUACGGGAGGCAGCAGGGGGGAAUAUUGCACAAUGGACGAAAGUCUGAUGCAGCAACGCCGCGUGGAGGAUGACACAUUUCGGUGCGUAAACUCCUUUUAUAUAAGAAGAUAAUGACGGUAUUAUAUGAAUAAGCACCGGCUAACUCCGUGCCAGCAGCCGCGGUAAU